CGAGGGGCCAGCCUCCACUCCAUACUCCUCUACUGCAGGGGAGUUUAGGGGGGCUGAGAGCUUGGAGAGCCAGGAGAGGGGGCUCAGAGGAAGAAGAAGCACAGAAGAAGGGACGGAGUGGCAGACAGACAUUCAGACAAGGUCUGACGGAGUGGGAUGAAAAGCAAGUGAGAGGCAUGAAGAGCGGGAACACAGAGGGAAGCUGAAGAAGCAGAGGAAGGGAGGACAGAAGGCCGGAAUGGAGACCUGUGGUGGUGAGCUGGACAUCGGCACUCAGUGGGAUUCCCAAUGGGCCUUACACAGAGCUCCCAGGGUUACUCUGAGGUUGGCUUCUGCUGUGGAAGGGGCUUUGAACUUACAGCCUGCCUUCAUUUGUGGCGGGACUGUCCAAGAUUCCAGCAGCUCACCGAUCCUAGCCUGCCAAAAGAGCUAGCAGCCCCAGACUCAAGUCGAUAAAGUUUGUGCCUGAUUCUUCCCGCCCAGGAACUCCUCUGAGACCUCAGACAUCCUUCUUCUUCUCAGCUUGUCAGGGCCGAGUAUGUGAGAAAUUCACCGGG